UGCCGCUCUUCCGGUCGGUGAUCUCGGCCGCCGCGAGAGACAAAAGCGAACGGAAGGCGGAAAAAAAAAGAAGAAACUUCCUAAAGUGGGGUUAGCGGUAUAGACGCUUUUGCAAUUAAUUAGACCAGAGGUGAUGACAUUGAGAUAAGAAGUUCUUUGGAAAACGGCCAACGAGAAAAACGGACGCAGCAAGCGGGACUGUGCGUGGAAAGGAACUAUUGCAGCCACCACACCCCGUGAACGGGAGCUGUGGAGAACCCUGCAGGAUUCGCCACGGCGGUGAGCGAACGGCUCCGGGCGCCAUUAGAGAAGAACAAAGACCCCGGGAGACGCGCACACAGCCCGGGCUGCCGGGAAACUUUACGUUAUCUCUCAAGGCUAUUAACUGUUUUACACAACCAUGAGAAAACCAGAAGAGCUGUCAGAAUCUUGCAUUUUCAGCAUGCAUAGCAAGAUGCCUAGGAGCAUCAGACACAUGGAGGAGACCAACUUAGAAAGAUACUCAUGCUUGGACUCCAUUUGAAGAUAUUCUUGAAAUUAGUAAAGGGAGGUUUUGGCAGAGAAACUGAAAAACUCCUGGGGAAUGGGGAGGAGACAUCUCUGGGAUGUGAAGGAUGAACUGGAGGUUGCUGGAGCUGAGAGCUCCUUCUUUCACCAUCGUCCCAACAUCACCCAGGAGCAGCCCUCCAUGGGUAGGCAGUGUUCUAGGUGCUGAGUAACAGCAGAGAAUGAGAUGGACAAAAAUCUGUCCCUUCAUAAGAGUCUGCUUUACAGAGACAAUUAACAAGUAAGUUAAAAUUCCCGACAUUUCAAAUGCGCUUGUCCAGAAAGCAGUGACUUACAUAGCCCUAAAGUAUCCAUGGAGAGACUGAGCAGA